rnacentral:lncRNA from 1 species
AUUCAUCCUGCCGCCGUAUCGACCCGCGGCCGACCCCGCGCGGCCAGGCGCCCCCGCCCGCUGCCCUCUCCUUUCCCAGCCCGGCCUCCCCCGCGGGGGCUGUCACCGAGCGCCUGGCACGGCCGGGCCAUGCCCCGGGGAAGGAGGGACCAGGGCCGGGGGCGGGAGCCAGCCCUUGUGCUCGCAGCCCUGGGUUCGGAGCCCAGCUGCCCGGGAAGGUUUCCAGAUCUCCCUGAGCCUCAGUUUCCCCAUCUGUAAACUGGGUGGUGGUGGCUUCGUCCCCCGCUUUGAGAGGACAGCAGGAGAGGCGUCCUGAGAAGUGAGUUCGCCUGGAAGCUGCCGGGCUGUAGUUUGCGUUGAUACCACCGAUCUUCCCGGUCACUCUAGGAGACGGGCCAUAUCCCCGUUUUACAAAUGAGGAAACUAACUCAGCGAGGGGAGACGCCGUGUCCAGGGACACACAUGCACAUUUGCGAGCGGGUGAAAAUUUCUGUGAAUGUUUAUAAGCACAUGGAACGGGCAUCUUUGUGGCUGCGGGAGUUGCACGGGUCACUCAUGAGGCCGCCCACGUGGCGCUUGUUGCUUCACCUCUCGAGUAACUGACGGUAUGUUCUGGCCCUCAGCUCUCCCGGGCAGUGUCCAUCACACUCAUGGCUUCCUAGACUUCCAUCUCCGGUCUAAUCACCUUCCGAACGCCAGAACCAUCACGUCUGCUGCCCUUGAACACCUCCCCUAGGUGUCCCUGUGGGCCACCCAGGUUCCCUCCACCCCAGUCUUCCCCACCUGCUUCUCCUUCAUGCUUCCCUCUCAGGGAGUUUGAGACCAGGCUGACCAACAUGGAGAAACCCCGACUCUACUAGAAAUACAAAAUCAGCUGGGUGUGGUGGCGCAUGCCUGUAAUCCCAGCUACUCGGGAGGCUGAGGCAGAAUUGCUUGAGCCUGGGAGGCGGAGGUUGCAGUGAGCCGAGAUUGCACCAUUGCACUCCAGCCUGGGCAACAAGAGCAAAACUCCGUCUCAAAAAAAAAAAAAAAAAAAAAGUAAAAGUAAAAGAAAGUCAAUCACCAAUAAUGCUGGAAUAUGUCAACUUUUCUCCCACCUCUUGCCACUGAUCCAGACCCCAUUCCCUCUGCCCGGGUGAUCCCUUAUAGCUACCCAGGGCUGCGGCUUUGCUCCAUUCAAGCCAUUUUCCACGCAGCAGCAGCCAGGGCCGUCUUUCCAGAGUGUAUUAGGUUGGUGCAAAAGUAACUGUGGUUUUUGCAAUUAAAAGUAAUUGUAGGCCAGGCACAGCGGCUCAUGCCUGUAAUCGCAGCACUUUGGGAGGCUAAGACAGUUGGAUCACUUGAGGUCAGGAGUUCGAGACCCACCUGGCCAACAUAGUGAAACCUGGUCUCCACUAAAAAUACAAAAAUUAGCUGGGCAUGGUGGCACACGCCUGUAAUCCCAGCUCCUGGGGGGGUGGGGGGGCAGGGCUGAGGCAGGAGAGUCGCUUGAACCCAGGAGACGACAGCUGCAGUGAGCUGAGAUCACGCCACUGCACUCCAGCCUAGGCGACAGAGUGACUCUGUCUCAAAAAAAAAAAAAAAAAAGGAAUUGCAAAAACCGCAAUUACUUAAUAGAUCUGACCAAGACUCUCCCCAGGUUCAAACCCCGGCUUCAAACCUUUUGCUCCUUAUAGUCUUUUUUUAAAACUCUUAUCUGUGGCUCAUUGUGUCUCAAGACAGCCAAGCAAACCGAACUGCUAGGAAUUUUCCCAAUGGAACAUUCUCUCUGCAAGUCCUUUGCUCUUGCGGUUGCUCCUCCAGGAGCUCCUGCCUCCCUCUUCUCUUCCCUUCCUUGAGGCUCAGCAUGGGAGAGGCCCUGCUGCAGGUGCCCUCUGACCUCUCAGGUAGGGGAGGGGGCCUCUGUCCUCUGCAAACCUGCGCUGAGUGCUCUGGAUGGUUCCGUCCCUUGGAUUGGGCCUCCCCAAGGGCAAGACCCUGCCUGGUUCACCCUGGCCGCUCAUGCAGAGGCCUGCCUAACAUAGCUGCUGAAUGAAUGAAUGAAUGAAUUGAAUUGAAUAAUGGACAAAGCCCAACAGGGAGGGUUAGCAUAAAGGGGAGACAGG